CCUACGGGCGGCUGCAGUGAGGAAUAUUGGUCAAUGGGCGGGAGCCUGAACCAGCCAAGCCGCGUGAAGGAAGAAGGCGCCAGGCGUCGUAAACUUCUUUUGUCGGGGAACAAAGGGCGCCACGCGUGGCGUUGUGAGUGUACCCGAAGAAAAAGCAUCGGCUAACUCCGUGCCAGCAGCCGCGGUAAUACGGAGGAUGCGAGCGUUAUCCGGAUUUACUGGGCGUAAAGAGAGCGUAGGCGGCACUACAAGUCUCAUGUGAAAUACCCGGGCUUAACUUGGGGGUUGCAUGGGAAACUGUAGAGCUUGAGUACAGGAGAGGCAAGCGGAAUUCCUGGUGUAGCGGUGAAAUGCAUAGAUAUUAGGAGGAACACCAGUGGCGAAGGCGGCUUGCUGGACUGAAACUGACGCUGAGGCUCGAAAGCGUGGGGAGCAAACAGGAUUAGAUACCCUAGUAGUC
rnacentral:rRNA from 1 species